GAGAAAGACAAUCGUUGAAGCGUUUUAAAUUAAUUAAUUUAAAAAAAAAGGAAGGAGAAAUAAACGAGAGAGAGAGAUUAUUUAUUUAUUAUGUAUUUAUUUUCUUUCACUUAGCUAGCGAAUGCAGUUACUCAAAUACUUGGCUCAAACAGUAAGGGAUGCUAUGUUAGCUAGCUGGCUAUGGCUAUUCAACACUGAAACUCUUUCAAGUCAAGAUUCAUCUAUGAAGCCAAAACUUGGAGACUUACAAGGUGAUGUGAUUGAGUCCAGACCGACAGACAAGCUUGAUACUCACGUCUCUGAACGGAGAGGCACUUUAACACAUCCACAAUGUGGGGUUGAAGAUGGAAAGGACUGUAGAUGCUUUUGCCAAGACUCCUGCCUCUGUUGUUUGAUGGGGAAACCAUUGGAAACAUGUAUGGCGCCAGCACGUGCAGACUUGCAAGAUAAUGUGUCAGUCCAGACUGACAGACGGGCUUGAUAGUGAUGUCUCUGAAUGGAGAGAGGCCUGGCACUCAGCAUUAACAUUUAAGUAGACAACUUUUACUUGUAAUCUAUUUUUUUAUUAUUGAAUUGAAUGGUAUCAGUCAAUAUGAGGAGAGAAAACCCCUGUGUAUUCUGCACCAGGAUCAGGGAACUCCUGUUGUAUAAGGGACACCACAGAGGAAGGUAUGACCAUUCUGUUUGCCAAGGUAGGCCCUGUACCACCAGCCAAAUGUCGAUAGGCACAGUGUCUGUAUCAGCUGGGAAUGACUAUGGAAGGUGAAAGGUGCACAUUGCUUCUAUGGUAUUAUGUAAAGGUUUGUUUAUUUUAUAUGGACCUGUUACUACAUUUGAAAGGGUUCAAAACACUUAGUUUAGAAUAUCUACAUUCAGCAAUUGCAUUCUCCUCAUAUUACUCUGCAGGUUACAGACCUAUUCAAAGCUUCCUCUGACAUCUGCCUAUAAAUAUUGAACUCAACUUGCAGGAGGUUUGUUUGUUGUGAUUGAGAGGGGGGAAACAGCUGCGCGCAAGGUUCUGGCAGAUGGUUGUGUCUUAAUAGUGGAAGUCGCUCUGGAUAACAGUAUCUGCUAAAUGACCAAAAUGUCAAAUGCAAAUGUUUAACAUACCGAUCUCAUUGUAUUGAAUUAUUAUUAUUUAAUUUGACUGUGUAAAACCUUGCAGGACUACUUAUUUUUCUGAGAUAGGACGGAUAUACAGCAUUUAGCAAAAAAAACAUGAUUAUUUUCUCUUUGAAAUUAAACUAUGAAGUGAUACAGUUCCAACAAAUGCAAGUAUGUCAUUGAACAACCACAUACCAUGAUUAGAUAGUGAAAAAACACACCAAUCCUCUUUCAUAAUCUCUUUAAACAUUAAAAGCUAAUUUUCUAAUAUUUAUUCAAAUGGAUAUACAGCGUUUAUUCAUUUGUUGAUUCCACAUUGUUAUCGUAUGGAGAAUAACUGUGCAAAGGGCAGAGUUAUUCAGUCCUUUUUCCACUUCCAUAUCCCAACCCUAGAUGGCAGCAGCAACUGGGUCAGUUGCUGAGUUAGUUCUGCCAGCAAUGUGAUACAUUUGACGAUUACUCAGGUGUUGGCAAUCAGUGAGAGAGGUGGAGCCUUGGUCUAGCGGUCCUUGCCUGCAUUUGUU